GACGAACGCUGGCGGCGUGCCUAAUACAUGCAAGUCGAGCGGACCGAACCAGAGCUUGCUCUUGUUUGGUCAGCGGCGGACGGGUGACUAACACGUGGGCAACCUGCCCGCUAGACCGGGAUAACUCCGGGAAACCCGAGCUAAUACCGGAUAACACCUAAGAUUGCAUGGUCUUUGGUUGAAAGGCGGCUUCGGCUGCCACUUGCGGAUGGGCCCGCGGCGCAUUAGCUAAUUGGUGAGGUAACGGCUCACCAGGGCGACGAUGCGUAACCGGCCUGAGAGGGUGACCGGCCACACUGGGACUGAGACACGGCCCAGACUCCUACGGGAGGCAUCAUUACGGAAUCUUCCGCAAUGGACGAAAGUCUGACGGAUCGACGCCGCGUGAGCGAAGAAUGCCUUCGGGUCGUAAAGCUCUGUUGUGAGGGACGAAGGAGCGCCGUUUGAAUAAAGCGGCGCGGUGACAGUACCUCACGAGAAAGCCCCGGCUAACUACGUGCCAGCAGCCGCGGUAAUACGUACGGGGCGAGCGUUGUCCGGAAUUAUUGGGCGUAAAGCGCGCGCAGGCGGUCCUUUAAGUCUGAUGUGAAAGCCCACGGCUCAACCGUGAAGAGUCAUUGGAAACUGGGGGACUUGAGUGCAGGAGAGGAGAGACGGAACUCCACGGGUAGCGGUGAAAUGCGCACAGAUGUCGGAGGAACACCACUGGCGAAGGCGGCGCUCUGGCCUGAAACAGACGCUGAGGCGCGAAAGCGCGGGGAGCAAACAGGAGAAGAUACCCCGGUAGUUCAUGCAGUAAAUGAUGAGUGGUAAGUGUUAGAGGGGCCACUUCCUUUAGUUCUGUAGCAAACGCGAUAAGCACUCCGCCUGGGGAGUACGGCCGCAAGGCUGAAACUCAAAGGAAUUGACGGGGGCCCGCACAAGCGGCGGAGCAUGUGGUUUAAUUUGAAGCAACGCGAAGAACCACCACCAGGUCUUGACAUCCCCUGACAACCCAAGAGAUUGGGCGUUCCCCCCUCGGGGGGACAGGGUGACAGGUGGUGCAUGGUUGUCGUCAGCUCGUGUCGAGAGAUGUUGGGUUAAGUCCCGCAACGAGCGCAACCCUUGCCGCGAGGCGCCAGCAUUCAGUUGGGCAUUCUAGAGGGACUGCCGGCUAAAAUUCGGAGGAAGGUGGGGAUGACGUCAAAUCUUCAUGCCCCUUAUGACAUGGGUUACACCCGUGUUACAAUGGGCGGUACAAAGGGCUGCGAACCCGCGAGGGGGAGCGAAUUCCAAAAAGCCGUUUUCAGUUGGGAUUGCAGGCUGCAAUUCGCUUGCAGGAAUCCGGAAUCGUUAGUAUUCGCGGAUCAGCAUGCCGCGGUGAAUACAUUCCCGGGCCU
rnacentral:rRNA from 1 species